rnacentral:rRNA from 1 species
UGAGCAAUCUGCCCUUCUCAUCGGAAAUAAGCGUUACGGAAACGCGUCUAAUGCCGAA